AUCCUCUCAGGGUCGCACCUGGGGAGUUUCCAGGACUCUAGCAGCCUCGGCUACGGGAGGGAGAGUCGAGCAGAGGCCUAGCCAUUCCACUCCUAGCUUGGGCAGUGGCUAGCGAGUGGCAGGCAAUCUGCUGCAAGU